ensembl:lncRNA
CUUCUGACCAGUGGCAGAGUCAAGAUAAUUUGCCUGGAGAACAUCAUGGACAUGAACAGAAGAGAUAGAGAGGCAUCAGGUGGCAGCAAUAUAUGCAUAGGAAGCUGUUCAUUCCUGGGACACAGAGAGCCUAUCUGUACUUUUGUUUCCUCUGACAGCUUAUUCAUCUCAAAAAGAUAGCAUUACAGGGUAAGUACAGAAUCACUAAACCAUAUCUUUUUCCUCUUCUCCUUUCUAUAGUAUUAUUGUUAUAAUAUGUUAUAAUAUAUGUUAUAAUAUAUAAUACUAUUAGGGUGGUGUCUAGCUUCUAGUCUUUUCCCUGUUUCCCUAAAACUGAACAAACCAUUG